rnacentral:rRNA from 1 species
ACUCCUACGGGAGGCAGCAGUGAGGAAUAUUGGACAAUGGGCGAGGGCCUGAUCCAGCCAUGCCGCGUGCAGGAAGAAUGCCCUAUGGGUAGUAAACUGCUUUUAUACGGGAAGAAAUAGGGGCACGCGUGCCCCGUUGACGGUACCGUAAGAAUAAGGACCGGCUAACUCCGUGCCAGCAGCCGCGGUAAUACGGAGGGUCCGAGCGUUAUCCGGAAUCAUUGGGUUUAAAGGGUCCGUAGGCGGUUGAUCGCGUCGGAAGUGUAAUCUUGGGGCUUAACCCUGAGCGUGCUUUCGAUACGGGUUGACUUGAGGAAGGUAGGGGAGAAUGGAAUUCCUGGUGGAGCGGUGGAAUGCGCAGAUAUCAGGAGGAACACCAGUGGCGAAGGCGGUUCUCUGGGCCUUUCCUGACGCUGAGGAGCGAAAGCGUGGGGAGCAAACAGGAUUAGAUACCCUGGUAGGAAAGCG